rnacentral:rRNA from 1 species
AGAUGGUUCUGCUAUCACUCUUGGAUGGACCUGCGGUGCAUCAGCUAGUUGGUAAGGUAAUGGCUUACCAAGGCGAUGAUGCAUAGCCGAGUUGAGAGACUGAUCGGCCACAUUGGGACUGAGACACGGCCCAAACUCCUACGGGAGGCAGCAGUAGGGAAUCUUCCACAAUGGACGAAAGUCUGAUGGAGCAACGCCGCGUGAGUGAAGAAGGGUUUCGGCUCGUAAAGCUCUGUUGGUAGUGAAGAAAGAUAGAGGUAGUAACUGGCCUUUAUUUGACGGUAAUUACUUAGAAAGUCACGGCUAACUACGUGCCAGCAGCCGCGGUAAUACGUAGGUGGCAAGCGUUGUCCGGAUUUAUUGGGCGUAAAGCGAGUGCAGGCGGUUCAAUAAGUCUGAUGUGAAAGCCUUCGGCUCAACCGGAGAAUUGCAUCAGAAACUGUUGAACUUGAGUGCAGAAGAAGAGAGUGGAACUCCAUGUGUAGCGGUGGAAUGCGUAGAUAUAUGGAAGAACACCAGUGGCGAAGGCGGCUCUCUGGUCUGCAACUGACGCUGAGGCUCGAAAGCAUGGGUAGCGAA